CAUGAACGUUGGCGGCAUGGAUUAGGCAUGCAAGUCGAGCGAGAAGAGUUUUGAAGCUUGCUUUAGAACUCGGACAGCGGCGAAAGGGAGAGUAACGCGUAGUUAUGUGCCCUAGGGUCCGGAAUAGCCACGGGAAACUGUGGGUAAUGCCGGAUAAUAUCCCCGGAUCAAAGGUGUGAUUCCGCCCUAGGAGCAGACUGCGUCCUACUAGCUAGUUGGUGGGGUAAUGGCCUACCAAGGCAAUGAUGGGUAGCGGGUGUGAGAGCAUGACCCGUCUCACUGGGGCUGAGACACUGCCCAGGCACCUACGGGUGGCUGCAGUCGAGAAGCUUCGGCAAUGGGCGAAAGCCGGACCGAGCGAUGCCGCGUGCGGGAUGAAGGCCCUCGGGUUGUAAACCGCUGUCGUAGGGGAGGAAGGUUCCGUGAAGAGCGGAAUUUGACCUAUCCUAGGAGGAAGUACGGGCUAAGUUCGUGCCAGCCGCCGCGGUAAAAC
rnacentral:rRNA from 1 species